rnacentral:rRNA from 1 species
CCUACGGGAGGCAGCAGUGAGGAAUAUUGGUCAAUGGGCGCUAGCCUGAACCAGCCAAGUAGCGUGAAGGAUGACUGCCCUAUGGGUUGUAAACUUCUUUUAUAUGGGAAUAAAGUGCAGUAUGUAUACUGCUUUGCAUGUACCUUAUGAAUAAGGAUCGGCUAACUCCGUGCCAGCAGCCGCGGUAAUACGGAGGAUCCGAGCGUUACCCGGAUUUAUUGGGUUUAAAGGGAGCGUAGGCGGGUUGUUAAGUCAGUUGUGAAAGUUUGCGGCUCAACCGUAAAAUUGCAGUUGAUACUGGCAGCCUUGAGUUCAGUAGAGGUAGGCGGAAUUCGUGGUGUAGCGGUGAAAUGCUUAGAUAUCACGAAGAACUCCGAUUGCGAAGGCAGCCUGCUGGACUGUAACUGACGCUGAUGCUCGAAAGUGUGGGUAUCAAACAGGAUUAGAUACCCGAGUAGUC